GCGCAGCAGGCGAGAAACCUCCGCAAUGCGGGAAACCGCGACGGGGGGACCCCGAGUGCCGUGGCAACGCCACGGCUUUUCCGGAGUGUAAAAAGCUCCGGGAAUAAGGGCUGGGCAAGGCCGGUGGCAGCCGCCGCGGUAAUACCGGCGGCCCGAGUGGUGGCCGCUAUUAUUGGGCCUAAAGCGUCCGUAGCCGGGCCCGUAAGUCCCUGGCGAAAUCCCACGGCUCAACCGUGGGGCUUGCUGGGGAUACUGCGGGUCUUGGGACCGGGAGAGGCGGGGGGUACCCCUGGGGUAGGGGUGAAAUCCUAUAAUCCCAGGGGGACCGCCAGUGGCGAAGGCGCCCCGCUGGAACGGGUCCGACGGUGAGGGACGAAGGCCAGGGGAGCAAACCGGAUUAGAUACCCGCGUAGUCCUGAGACUCCAAGGCACACA
rnacentral:rRNA from 1 species